rnacentral:tRNA from 1 species
GGGAAUGUGACUCAGCGGUAGAGUGCUUGCUUUGCAUGCAUGAGGCCCUGGGUUUGAUUCCUCAGUACCA